UUGAGUAGGUGACCAAAAUUUGACUGGGACUGUAUAUGAAUGACAAUGCCAUCAGUUCUAGUUGUAAGUUUUGUCAAUGUCAGUGGUUGUCCUUUGAACAUAUCAGUUCUACUGUCUAUGACAAUGAUAACCUGUGUUCUGUUCUUCCAGUUGUAAAAUGACCCCACUGUCAAACGAGUUGACCUGGAGGAAGGACAUGUCAUAAUCUACAUAGAUGGGCUUAAGCAGAAGCAAACUAAGACGUACAGCCUGGCCAUAGAGGAGGAUGUGCCUGUGAGGAAUCUGAAACCAGCUGUGGUGAAAGUGUAUGACUACUACCAGACAAGUGAUGAAGCUGUGAGUGAAUACAGCUCCCCAUGUGCAGAGAGUGAUGAAAUUAAUGAAGUGUGAAAGACAGAGAGCCAAUCACAAGCUGACUGGACCCAGGCUCAACCAAUUGCUUUCCUAUCAAGGAAGUCAUGUUUUUAGGUCGAGCUCAUAAAACCUCUACAUUUAUUUGAUUUGAUGCUUACAGUUCAUUGUACCGCAUUGACCAACUUGUGAUACUUUUUUUUUUUAACUUAUGUUAAAAACGGAUAUGUUUAAUAGAUGGGCAUACAUGGGCCUUAGAAUGUACCUUUAAUUCAGUUUGCUUUUGUUACUUUGAUUUGUGCUAACACGUCACAACCUGCUGUUGUA